AAUCCAUAGGUUAAUGAGGCGAACCGGGGGAACUGAAACAUCUAAGUACCCCGAGGAAAAGAAAUCAACCGAGAUUCCCCCAGUAGCGGCGAGCGAACGGGGAGGAGCCCAGAGCCUGAAUCAGCAUGUGUGUUAGUGGAAGCGUCUGGAAAGGCGCGCGAUACAGGGUGACAGCCCCGUACACAAAAGCGCAUGUGCUGUGAGCUCGAUGAGUAGGGCGGGACACGUGGUAUCCUGUCUGAAUAUGGGGGGACCAUCCUCCAAGGCUAAAUACUCCUGACUGACCGAUAGUGAACCAGUACCGUGAGGGAAAGGCGAAAAGAACCCCGGCGAGGGGAGUGAAAAAGAACCUGAAACCGUGUACGUACAAGCAGUGGGAGCACAGGUUUACCUGUGUGACUGCGUACCUUUUGUAUAAUGGGUCAGCGACUUAUAUUCUGUAGCAAGGUUAACCGAAUAGGGGAGCCGGAGGGAAACCGAGUCUUAAUUGGGCGUUAAGUUGCAGGGUAUAGACCCGAAACCC
rnacentral:rRNA from 1 species